GACGAACGCUGGCGGCGUGCUUAACACAUGCAAGUCGAACGGAAAGGCCCUGCUUUUGAGGGGCGCUCGAGUGGCGAACGGGUGAGUACCACGCGUGUAACCCGCCCUUGACUAUGGGAUAACUUCAGGAAACUGGGUCUAUUACAGGAUAGGAGCUCCUGUUGCACGGUGGGGGUUGGAAAGUUUCGGCGGUUGGGGAUGGACUCGAGGCUUAUCAGCUUGUUGGUGGGGUAGUGGCUUACCAAGGCUUUGACGGGUAGCCGGCCUGGGAGGGUGACCGGCCACAUUAGGACGGAGAUGAGACCCGGACCCGUACGGGAGGCAAGGGUGCAGAAUGUUGCACGAUAGGCGGAGGGCUGAUGCAACCACGCCGCGUGCGGUAAGUCGGCCUUCGGUUAGGAAUGCGCAUCCGCCUGUGACGGAGCGAGAGUGACGGUAAUGGAGGAAUAAGCACCGGCUAACUACGUG
rnacentral:rRNA from 1 species